AACCUAGACAUAUUUUUACAUAUAUGUCCGCCCGGGUACUACGAGCUACAGCUUAAAACCCAAAGGACUUGGCGGUGUCUCAGACCCACCUAGAGGAGCCUGUUCUAGAACCGAUAACCCCCGUUAAACCUCACCCCUUCUUGUUUUUUCCGCCUAUAUACCGCCGUCGUCAGCUUACCCUGUGAAGGACUAAUAGUAAGCAAAAUGGGCCCACCCAAAAACGUCAGGUCGAGGUGUAGCGCACGAAGGGGGAAGAAAUGGGCUACAUUUUCUAAAAAACAGAAUACUACGGAUGAGCACUCUGAAAUAUAGUGCCUGAAGGUGGAUUUAGUAGUAAAAAGCAAAUAGAGAGUCCUUUUGAAUUAGGCUCUGAGACGCGCACACACCGCCCGUCACUCUCCCCUUAUACUAAUAUGAUUAUUAUUCCUAAUACCCUACUCAACAAUAAGGGGAGGCAAGUCGUAACAUGGUAAGUGUACCGGAAGGUGUACUUGGAAUAAC
rnacentral:rRNA from 1 species